rnacentral:rRNA from 1 species
GCCAGACUCCUACGGGAGGCAGCAGUGGGGAAUAUUGGGCAAUGGGCGCAAGCCUGACCCAGCAACGCCGCGUGAAGGAAGAAGGCCCUCGGGUUGUAAACUUCUUUUAUUCGGGACGAAACAAAUGACGGUACCGAAUGAAUAAGCCACGGCUAACUACGUGCCAGCAGCCGCGGUAAUACGUAGGUGGCAAGCGUUAUCCGGAUUUACUGGGUGUAAAGGGCGUGUAGGCGGGAGAGCAAGUCAGACGUGAAAUUCCAGGGCUCAACCCUGGAACUGCGUUUGAAACUGUUCUUCUUGAGUGAUGGAGAGGCAGGCGGAAUUCCGUGUGUAGCGGUGAAAUGCGUAGAUAUACGGAGGAACACCAGUGGCGAAGGCGGUCUGCUGGACAGCAACUGACGGUGAGGCGCGAAAGCGUGGGGAGCAAACAGGAUUAGAUACCCCUGUA